AGGAAAAUAAACUAUCCUAAUGGCAAUGUGAACACGGCAUCCACUGUUUCCCAACUCUGUUAUAACUCAUAGAUCAUCAGUUUCCUCCCGAUUCCUUGCUUUCUGAGAAGAAUGACUGGACCGAUCACAUCUUUGGAGAUGGCAGCUGACGAAGCAUGACGAAGUACAGAUGACUCAGACUGUAGUUUUCGCUUUAAUCCCUCUUUUG
rnacentral:lncRNA from 1 species